rnacentral:misc_RNA from 1 species
AAUUCUCGAACCUUCUUGGUUUCUUGACCAAGAUGGCUUUGGACUUUGGAGGUUUUUUGCUGGCUUUGCAGAAAGUCGGCUCCUCUUAAAUGCAUUAGUGGGGUCCCCUUUGCCAAUCCCCGGGCGUGAUAAGAUGUUUUCUACGUCUUGGGAUUUGCUCUGUUCAUUGGGAACCUGCUUCCAACCGUCUCGUGAGAGACAUCGUUCGAGCUUGCUCGGCACACGAA